rnacentral:rRNA from 1 species
GGGGAUAAGCGGAAGAAAUUCCGUCUAAUACCGCGUAACAACGUUGGGAGGCAUCUCCCGAUGUUUAAAGAUUUAUCGGCUGCGGAUGGCCAUGCGGCGCAUUAGCUAGUCGGCGGGGUAACGGCCCACCGAGGCGACGAUGCGUAGGGGUUCUGAGAGGAAGGUCCCCCACACUGGUACUGAGACACGGACCAGACUCCUACGGGAGGCAGCAGUGAGGAAUAUUGGUCAAUGGCCGAGAGGCUGAACCAGCCAAGUCGCGUGAGGGAUGACGGCCCUACGGGUUGUAAACCUCUUUUGUCGGGGAGCAAAGGGAGUCACGUGUGACUCAUUGAGAGUACCCGAAGAAAAAGCAUCGGCUAACUCCGUGCCAGCAGCCGCGGUAACACGGAGGAUGCGAGCGUUAUCCGGAUUUAUUGGGUUUAAAGGGUGCGCAGGCGGAGGUGCAAGUCAGCGGUCAAAUUGCGGGGCUCAACCCCGUACUGCCGUUGAAACUGCAUCCCUUGAGUGCGCGAGAAGUAUGCGGAAUGCGUGGUGUAGCGGUGAAAUGCAUAGAUAUCACGCAGAACUCCGAUUGCGAAGGCAGCAUACCGGCGCGCAACUGACGCUCAUGCACGAAAGCGUGGGUAUCGAACAGGAUUAGAUACCCUGGUAGUCCACGCAGUAAACG